rnacentral:rRNA from 1 species
UACGUAGGGUGCAAGCGUUGUCCGGAAUUACUGGGCGUAAAGCGUGCGCAGGCGGUUAUGCAAGACAGAUGUGAAAUCCCCGGGCUCAACCUGGGAACUGCAUUUGUGACUGCAUGGCUAGAGUGCGGCAGAGGGGGAUGGAAUUCCGCGUGUAGCAGUGAAAUGCGUAGAUAUGCGGAGGAACACCGAUGGCGAAGGCAAUCCCCUGGGCCUGCACUGACGCUCAUGCACGAAAGCGUGGGGAGCAAACAGG